UGUUGGCAGCUGCUCUGACUUCUUUGCACUACUGUAUGAGACAGCGAGCAGUGCAAUAGUAUUGUCAAAGCAUCUGACAGCAGC